GCCGGGAUAGCUCAGUUGGUAGAGCAGARGAMUGAAAAUCCUCGCUGGUUACCCAAGUUU
rnacentral:tRNA from 1 species